rnacentral:tRNA from 1 species
UCGGUGGCUCAGUGGUAGAGCACUUGCCUUGCAUGCCUGAGGCCAUGGGUUCAAAUCCCAAUUUCUGAA